GGUAGGAUUCACAGGUGACGGGCUCCUGGGCUGCAGCUGCUUAGUCACCUCCUGGCACUCGGGUGCAUCAGUUCAUUGUCCUCAUGCCAGUGGUGGGGCAGCCCUAAUGCACAGGUCUGAAAAAUGCUCAGGUGUACCUGCAAUGUGUGAGAGAAAGGAGGCUGGUGAAGGUGGGUGUGGCCACCUCCCAGGUGUGGGUCUUGAGGGAACUUCUGCCUCCUUUCAGGUGGCACAGAAUGUGGUCCUGUACACAGGCGACUCCAACCUGGGCUGGAGCUGUUUGAGGCAGCUGGAGACAUCAUCUUCAAUGGGGCCUGGGAGCGGGAGAAAUCCGUGUCCUUCUACCAGAUGAGGAAGCUGAGGCUCAGAGAGGCACAGAGACAUGUCAAAGGACACACAGCAUGUCAGUAGGAGACCCAGGUCCCAGAUCUGCAUGCACCCCGAAACGGGGCCGGCUUCUCCCUUCCUCAGAGCUCACGGACCGGGUCCUGCCCCUAGCAGUGACUACGGGCAACUCCAAGGGGAGCCGCAGCUGUGCAACAAGCCGGUGGCACUGCUGGCCAUGCUGGAGGAGCCCCAGGAGGGCUUGGAAUUUGCCCACAUGGCCCUAGCUGUCAGCAUCACUCUGGGUAAGUCCCCUGAGCCCCCGCCCUGCCAGGACCCACACUUUGCCAGAGCUGAGCUUCCAUAUCUGCAGGGCAGGAGCUGAAACAGCUGCUGGAUUUUCCCAGUCUCCUGUCCAGGCAGGCAGAUCUGCCCAGCUGGCUUCUCUGUCUGGUGGUGGGGCACAGCCCGAGGUCUGUCACGUAGCACAGUGCUCCCUGCCUGGCUGAGCUCUGCUUCCUCUGUGUCUUCCGGCUACUGAUCACAAGGGCCGCCCAGUGUGCCCUCUGCCUUCCAGACAUGCCAGGCAUCGCGGUCCCUGUAUGUGCCAGGCCAAGUGGCACAUUCCCUUUGUCUUGUGCCCUCUCCACCCUCAUCAACCACACAACUCUCUGGCUGAUGAAAUCCCAGUUCCCCUUCCAGCAGCCUGCCCCUUAAGGCCGGGCAUCCCCUGGUGCUAUGCCAGGAUCGUCUGUCCUCCUCCAGAGACAGGGAACCCUGGAACCCUGGGCAAGCCGCAUGCCCCAGAGCCUUGUGCCCUGGGGC
rnacentral:lncRNA from 1 species